rnacentral:tRNA from 1 species
ACUUUAAUAGCUUAUAUAGAGCAUGACACUGAAGAUGUUAGGGAGAUUUUUUAUCUUAGAGUA